CAUAAUAAAUAUAAUUGCUUGAGUUAUUUUUCCUUGUUUUUUUUGAAAUGGUUGUGAGUAGGAAAAAUUGUUGACAAUGCUACUGGAGAUGUAGCUGUGGAUCAAUAUCAUCGAUACAAGGUAUACGUGAAUCAUGUCAUCAUAUUUAAUUGAUAUUAAGAAGUUUGAAUAUCCAUAUAUAUCUGGUUAAUGAUUUUUCUUUUUAAUCUUAACAAAAUUGUUUUUAAAUUUCUAAUUUUAUGUUUUUAAUUUAAUUUCUUUGUCCGUUUGGAAUAGGAAGACAUUGAUAACAUGAAAAAGCUGAACUUCGAUGCUUAUCGAUUCUCGAUUUCUUGGCCGAGGAUAUUUCCAAGUAUUUAAAAUUUUCUCUUUAUACAAUAUUUUUAUCUUUUGAAUGGCAAAAAUCAUUACCUGCAGCUACAUAAUUAUAAUUAAUAAUAAUCUGUUUUAUUUCAUUUUUGCUUCUUUGUUUUUCAAUAGAUGGAACAGGAGAAGUAAAUUGGAAAGGGGUUGCUUACUAUAAUAGAUUGAUUGACUACAUGAUUCAACAAGGUAAAAUAUUAUAUGUUACACCCAUUCAUUUUAUUUGAUUUCAAUUUUAGUAUAAAAAAAAUUCAAAUUAUAGCCUAUUUAAUUAAUAUCUAUUUUAUUUUUCGGUAUAAAAAAUGAAGCCGAAUUUAUUUAAAAUUUUACGACGUAUAAUUUUCAAAUCAGAAAACAAAAUGAUAAAUUAGUUAUUAUUUACUUACUUAAAUAAUUAGACUAUUUCUUUGUUAGGAUAUAAUGUUGUUAUUUUGGACAUAGACUCUAGUCAUUUUAUUUUUAAUUUUAUUUGAAAGACUUGUCUAGCGAAAAUGAUAAUAUAUUUAAGUAAUCGAGUUUUUUAAAGUAUUUUAUGGUUUAAUAAGACGAUCAUUACGUCGUAAUUGUAAUUGACUCUUUAUUAUUUACGACUUCUUUUAGUAAUUAUUUCAUCGAUUUAAUUAGUUUGUUUUUUAAUUGAACUUAUUUUCUCUUUAUUUAUUAAAUUUUUAGUUAAAUUUUAAAUGUCAAACAACUAUUUGUUUAAAUUUCAAAAACUCAAUAUAAUAAAAUUUUAAUGAUUAUAAUUCUAUGUGUGUGUUUCCUUUUCAUUGCAACGUGAAGGAAUCACACCCUAUGCAAAUCUUUACCACUACGAUCUUCCCUUGGCAUUACAAGAAAGAUAUAGAGGUUUACUAGACAAGCAAAUUGUGUAAGUUUGAUCAAACUUAUGUGUAUAACUUAUAUUUUCAUACCUACAUUGGGUUAUGAUUGCAAUUAUUUUCAACAUAUAUAUGUGCAUGCAGGAUCGAUUUUACAAAUUAUGCAGAAUUUUGUUUUGAAGAAUUUGGAGAUAGAGUGAAGAAUUGGAUGACAUUUAACGAACCGAGAGUUAUAGCUGAUGUUGGGUUCAAUAGCGGAAUAAUGCCUCCUUCAAGAUGUUCAAAAGAAUAUGGAAAUUGUACAGAUGGGAAUUCAGGAACUGAACCUUACAUUGUGGCUCAUAAUAUAAUUCUUUCCCAUGCUAAUGUGGUUGAUACAUAUAGGAAGAAAUUUCAAGUAAGUAAAGAUGCUUUUUUUUUCUAAUUAUUUAUUAAGUUUUGUUUUUAUUUUUGUGAAUAAUAUUUUUAUUAAUAUAUAGACUUGUAAUUUCUAUAGGAAAAACAAGGAGGAAGAGUUGGGAUUUUGUUGGAUUUUACAUAUUAUGAACCUCUCACUAAUGAGAAAGAAGACAGAGAUGCAGCUCAAAGAGCAAGAGAUUUUCAUAUUGGCUGGUAAAAAUUAAUAUAUUAAUCCAAUUUGUGAUUUGUUUUGUGUUCAAGUUUAAUUUUUAUGUUAAAUUGGAUCAUUAAAUAUAUAAUAUCAAUUUUCACCAACCUAUACAUAUAUGUAUAUGUUGAAAUUAGGUUCUUGCAUCCAUUUACAUAUGGUGAAUAUCCAAGAAGAAUGCAAGAAAUAGUAAAAGAAAGGUUACCAAAAUUCAGUGAAGAAGAGGUAAAAAAGGUGAAAGGGUCAGUAGAUUUUGUGGGUAUCAAUCAAUAUACAACUUUCUAUAUGUUCAACCCUACUUGGCCAAAACCAACCACUCCUGGCUAUCAAUCUGAUUGGCAUGUUGGCUAUGCUUGUAAGACUCUACUACACCAUUGUUAUUAUUAUAAUUAUUUAAUCAUCUUCUUCACUUCAAUUAUUUCUAUAUUCUAAUGCUACUUUUUUCUUAUAAUUUUGUUCCCACAGAUGAAAAGAAUGGAAAACCAAUUGGUCAACGAGUACGUAAUUAAUCUUUAACAUCGAUUGAGCGAUGUUCGCUUUUAACUACUAAAUAUAACUUUUGAUUGGUCUCAGGCUCAUACCGGAUGGUUGUAUGAAGUACCAUGGGGAAUGUACAAAGCUUUGAUGUAUGUGAAGCAACACUAUCGAAAUCCAAACGUUAUAGUUUCAGAAAAUGGUAAUUCACUCUCAAUUUCUGUUUAUUUGUUUUUGAUCAGUUUUAGUCAUGAGGUUAUAUUUAUUACUAAUUCCUUUUUUCAUAAGAAAAAAACUGUACAGAAUAUUCCCUUUUAUAAUUAUUUUUCUAAAAAUGUAUAUGAUUUGUAUAGAUUUUCAAAUCAUUAUCCCUACAAGAAUAUGGUAUCUUUGAAAUAAUCGUAAUCAAAAUUUGAAAACAAAAUAUAGGAAUUUUGAAAACUCAUUCAGCAUUUUUUUCUCACAUGAUAUUUGAUAAUUGGGUUUGCACUAGAAGUCGUCGUUAUACGUACAUAUGUUGGCAAGUAGCUGGUAGCAGGUAUUUUGUAACAGUUAAACGUUUAAUUCUAUUUUAAAUGCAAUGAUAGGAAUGGACACUUCUGAUAUCCCACUUCCUGAAGGGUUAAAUGAUAGAGAAAGAAUAAAUUACUACAAGACAUAUUUGCAAAACAUGAAGAAAGCCAUUGAUGAUGGAGCUAAUGUGAGUGGAUAUUUUGCAUGGUCUUUGCUUGAUAACUUUGAAUGGCUAUCAGGUUAUACUUCAAGGUUUGGUAUCAUAUAUGUUGAUUACAAACACAAUCUCAACAGAAUUCCUAAGAUGUCAGCCUAUUGGUUCAAACAAAUGAUUAGUAAGAACUAGGAGUAUAAUUAAACCUAGCUCAAGUAAUAUUUUAAAUGCUAUUGGUAACUAUAUAUAUAUAUAUUAUUCUCUUCCUUUCUUAUAUUUAUAAGAAAAUAAAUGAUUGACGAACAAAACAUAUUAGUGGAUCAUCUUUUACCAAAUUUUGAAAUUGAAUGAUAAUUGAUAUUUUAUGAAUCGAAUUAUGCUUAUAUUCUCGAGACUCUUUAAAUCUCUUUUUUUAAUUUCACUAAGAUAAAUACUUUUAUCUUAUAUAUAUAUGCAAAUUUUUUUCAUGAUAGUCUCUACUUAAUUUUGUUUUUUUAUACAUGUGUGUAUAUGUACAUAGAGGAAAAAUUGAAGUUGAUGUUAGGACAUCUUUUACAUGUCAAUUUUGAACAACUGUGUUCAAUAUUUUGUCAGGCAUUAAAUUAUUUGUGGUCAUUUGUAUCUUUUUACUUAUGUAAUAUUUUAUUUUAAAGUAAUAUUAAUUAAAGCGAACUCAACUAAGAAGUUUAUAGUUAAAUUCUUCUACCGUACCAAAUUUAAAAAAGAAAAUAGUAUUCACCUUUUAAAUGAUUUUAGAAAUAUUAUCAUGGUCUGAUUCUUUUCCCUUUAAAAGUUGUAACUUAAUUUGGAUAUAGUUUCAAUUAGUUCCUCUUUACAAGUUUCAAAUUUACUAGUUGUGGUUUGAAUAUUUAGUUUAAAUUAGGCGUGAUAGUUGGCUUAGUUUUCUUUAUCUUGUAUAUAUCUAGUCAAGAAUCAAUAAAUAAAUUUUUCAAAAUGACUGUAAUCUGUUUGAUUUAAAAGUUUUAUAUAGGUUAAUUAGCUCAAUAAGUAUGCAAUUAUGAUGGCACAUAUCUAUAACCUCGUACAAAAUAUGGAGGAAAGUUCACGAACCCUAGGUCAAUUGACAUAUACUCAAGUCAUUAUGACUUUAAGAAAAAAAAAAAGAAUUAGUCAUUUAUGAUUCUAAAAAAAAACUCAUACUAAACUUACAUCUUAAAGCCUUUAACGAACUUAGGCACAAAUACUCGUCUAGUACUAGCCCAUUCUCUUUUGUGCGUCAUAUUUAAAUUGAAACUAAACUUAAAUAUUUAGAUCGAACUCAAAAGAUUCUAAUUUGUAAUUUAGUCGCGACAACAUUCUUGUUAAAAAAUGAUGACUAGCUAACCAAAUUAAACUGCACCUCUAUUAUCUAUUAUAUCUUAGUCACAAUGAAAUUAAUUAAGUACAAUAAUAUUAUCAAUUGGUCAAUAAAGGGGACUAAUCCAACUUGGAUCCCAACAACAACAACGUGGCUGAUAGUUAAGGAGAUAAGACCCUUCUAUUGGUAUGAUAUCAUGGGUGUGUUCUUAAUCAAUUAAUUAAACCCUUAAUUAGAAAAAAUUGAAACAGUUACAAUGUCCAACUAGGCAGCUUCCAUUUCAAUAAACCACAUCUGACGUGCCAUCAUUUGUGGUUACUAAUUAAUAGUUAUGCCACUUAGAAAAAGCCUAAGCCACUUAGAUUAUUAAUUAUGAUUAUAAUUAUUAAUUUCAUUUUCAUUGAGUCUAUGUGUGGUUCUUCCACUUUAAUGACCUGAAAAAUGCCUUUUUCUCCUAAGCACUAUUAUUCAUUCUCAUUCGUGGUUUCAUUAAUAAAAAUCAUCUCUAAUAUAAUCUAAUCAUUCACAUUAAGUAGUAAUAAUAAUAAUAUACCAAAAACAUGGGCUUUCAUUCUUCACCAACUCUCUUAAGAGUGUGGCAUGCUUAGUGUUGUUGUACUUUGGGUUUUAUAUAUUUUAAUUCAAUUUGUUGGUAAAUAGUUGGAAUUAGUCGGUUUCCUAUGAAAUCAUCACCAAAAGGAUGUUUGGCUAUUAGUUUUGAUGCAUAUACAUCUAUCUUUUUUGUCAACUUUUGGAGUUUUUUUUUCCUCUUUGACAAUGUGGGUAAAGAAAAUCGAACAUAUGAUAUCGAGAUUGAUAGUAAAUAUUUUAUGUUGGGUUGAGUUAUACUCGUUUUGGUAUAAAUAAUAAAAUAAGCACACAAAGAUGUCUAAAUUUAAAGUUGAGAAGUUGGAGCUUGUUAUUAUCAAUCUCAUGGUUUAAAGGGUUAGUAGAGAUAGUAUAACGGAACGGUUUUAUGAGAAAAAAUUCAUAUAGUGACUUAAUCAAGCUUAAAUAAACAAAACCACAUCCAAAAAUGUUAAGAACUUGACAAUCAAAGAUAAAUAAAAAAUAAAAAGCGAACAUAAACAAUAGAGAAUAAUCAACACAAAGAUUUAACAUAUAGUUCACCAACAGUGUGUUAGCUACAUUCACGUGUAAAGGAAGAGUACAAACUUUAUUAGCAAGAAAAUAUCAUACUAUAGAUUCAAUUGUUGUUAGAGAGUUUAAUAUUGUGCACUGUUCAAAGCCUUAUAGAGCCAAAAUAAAAUAACAUGAAUACAAAUACAACUUAAUAUAUUUGUUUCAUCGCCCAUGUACUCUAGUUGAUAUUGAUGUACUAGGUGACAAGACCGUUAUAUUUUGGUCAUACAUUCAGAACGUCAAAUAAUAAAUUCAAAGCAUUCCAACACAAAACAUUAAUACAAGCUCGGAUUUCUAAUUUUGGGUUUUCAGAAACCCUACUUCAUGGUUAAAAUAACAUAUUAUUAAAACUCAAACUAAAAUAAUCUACGCUCCACGCACAAAAUCAUUAUAACUCAACUAUAAUAACCAAUUAUUGCCUCAAACGCUUCUUUAUUUAGAGGGUGAAAAAGAUUUUUGUUUAAUUUCCUCACCAAUUUGGCUUAGCAUUAUUUUAUUCUUAACAUAUAUGAAUAUGUGUCUAAUAACUAUAUGGGAGUUGUAACCGUACACCAUUUUAGACAUACCGUAUCAUGACUCUUUGGAUGACACCUCAAAUCUUGAUCUAAAAGCAUAGAAUGAUUCAUAAAAAAGGAUACACAUUCAUAUAUCAUAACGCACCAAAUCUCAUCAAAACUUUACAGUUAAGCAUACUCGAACGAUAUAGUACUAAAUUUGGUGAUCACUUGGAAAGUCUUCGUUUUCACCUAUUUAGAGAAAUAAUGUUCAAGAAAGUCACCUCAAGGCAAUAAAAGAAGCUUAAUAUCUUUGAUUUCAAAUAUAUCAUCCCAUCAUUUUAAGCACUUUGAGUUUAGCAUAUGUUAGCUACAACCGAUAUAACGAGUUCUUAUACUUAGAGUUGGAGAGAGAAUUUUUUAUGUGGUUGUAAUAAUUUUUGACAAAGUAUAUUUUUUUUAUUUCUCACUUUAAUUUUUGCAUAAUCGUGUGAUAGUAGUAAGUGGUUUUAUUCCAAUAGAAAGUGAGUAAAAAAUGAGCAUUGGUUUGAUUGGGAAGGAACCCUUAGGUUCAACUUAAUUUCUAAUGUAAUUUAGUUAUAUUAUUGGUUGAUAAAAAAAUUUAUAUUAGUUAUAAAAAGUAGCUCCUUCUUUUAUGACAAUGACAGUUGAAUUUGAUUAAUUAUUAAUUAAGAGAAAACAUAUUGGGUUUGGAGCAUAUGAGAUUUAAUUAAUUUAUUAAAAGCUUUGCAGCCCUAACCAAAGCCAUGCAUGGCUUAUAAAUACUACCAAUUUCAAAGCUUCUAAAUACACCAAAACAAAAACUAACUUCCAACACAAGAAAAACCCAAAAUAAUAAUUCCAAUAUCUUCUUCCUUCUUCCUUCUUCCUUCUUCCUUCUUCCUUCUUCCUCGAUCUUCUUUAUAGGCCUCCUUCUUUCUCUAUAUUCUCAAAAUCAUGUCAUCCCUUGGAGCUUCCUAUGCCAAAAUCCACCUCCUACAGAAGCAACAAAAGGAGAAACUUGAGAGAAUGGAACCAAAUCGAUUCUCCCGAGGAGAGACCGCCACCGCCACGGGUUCCUCUAGUGGUGGUUCUUUGCUUGCAAGGAAUAAAAAAGUUCACCCGGGAAGCAUUGCUCCGACGACCACAGUCGACAGCUACAAAAAUAGAACAUGAUCAAGUUAUAUAUUUGACUUUAUGCUUCCCGGCCCUUCUUGAUCAUGACCUGUUUUCCUUCUUUUAGUGUCUAUAAAAUCGAAAAGCUUUUGUUUGUGUAAAUGUGUUUAAAAAUGUCUGUCCAAAGGCCAAAAGAAAAAGAAGAGGAAGAAGAAGAAGAAUAGUAUAAGUGUGUCUUUUGGUCUGAUCUACUCUUUUCAUGUUCUCUAGUCUGUACUUUUCCAAUGUUUUGCUGUUAAUUAAUUAAGGAUGUAAUUGUGUCUUAAUGCUUUAUAAGGUAAAGUAUAACACUUUAGUUUUUAUUAUACAUAUAUAUAUAGUAAUUUUCUCCUUUGACGUCAUGAUAGCUAUAGAAAAGUAUUUGGACAAUAUACAUCUCACAACUAUAUCUAUUCAUCUCAAAAUGAACAAAGUGAAGAAAAAAUUCAAAACAAUUAAUUAUUUUAUGUAGAGAUGUGAAGAAAUAAAAUAACUAUAUACAUUUGUAAUUUGUAACCUGUUACAUUAACAUUUGAAAAUGAAGAUGAAGUAAGUUGUAACUAAAACAUGUGAAUAGAGGAUAUGUGAGGGUUUGGACCUAUCAUUUUCAAUAUUGAUUUCAUAAGAAAGGAGAUUCAUAUCAUCCUCAUUAGAGGGAGGUAUGAUAGAGACAUGAG
rnacentral:lncRNA from 1 species